UACAGAGGGUGCAAGCGUUGUUCGGAAUUAUUGGGCGUAAAGCGCGUGUAGGCGGCUUUGCAAGUCGGGUGUGAAAGCCCUCGGCUCAACCGAGGAAGUGCGCCCGAAACUGCAGAGCUUGAGUACCGGAGAGGAUGGCGGAAUUCCCCAAGUAGAGGUGAAAUUCGUUGAUAUGGGGAGGAACACCGGUGGCGAAGGCGGCCAUCUGGACGGAUACUGACGCUGAGACGCGAAAGCGUGGGUAGCAAACAGG
rnacentral:rRNA from 1 species